UACGAGGGGGGCAAAUGUUGCUCGGAAUCACUGGGCGUAAAGGGAGCGUAGGCGGGCUUCUAAGUUAGAUGUUUAAUCCCGGGGCCCAACCCCGGACAGGCACCUAAAACUGGAAGUCUUGAAUAGUGGAGAGGACGGCGGAAUUGGGGGUGUAGCGGUGGAAUGCGUAGAGAUCCCCAAGAACACCAGUUGCGAAGGCGGCCGUCUGGACACAUAUUGACGCUGAGGCUCGAAAGCAUGGGGAGCAAACAGG
rnacentral:rRNA from 1 species